rnacentral:rRNA from 1 species
AACGAACGCUGGCGGCAGGCCUAACACAUGCAAGUCGAGCGAAGCCUUCGGGCUUAGUGGCGGACGGGUGAGUAACACGUGGGAACGUGCCAUUUGGUUCGGAACAACUCAGGGAAACUUGAGCUAAUACCGAAUGUGCCCUUCGGGGGAAAGAUUUAUCGCCAUUGGAGCGGCCCGCGUCUGAUUAGCUAGUUGGUGGGGUAAUGGCCUACCAAGGCGACGAUCAGUAGCUGGUCUGAGAGGAUGAUCAGCCACAUUGGGACUGAGACACGGCCCAAACUCCUACGGGAGGCAGCAGUGGGGAAUCUUGCGCAAUGGGCGAAAGCCUGACGCAGCCAUGCCGCGUGAAUGAUGAAGGUCUUAGGAUUGUAAAAUUCUUUCACCGGGGACGAUAAUGACGGUACCCGGAGAAGAAGCCCCGGCUAACUUCGUGCCAGCCGCCGCGGUAAUAC